UGGGGAAUAUUGGACAAUGGGCGAAAGCCUGAUCCAGCCAUGCCGCGUGAGUGACGAAGACCUUAGGGUUGUAAAACUCUUUCGUCGGGGACGAUAAUGACGGUACCCGGAGAAGAAGCUCCGGCUAACUUCGUGCCAGCAGCCGCGGUAAUACGAAGGGGGCUAGCGUUGUUCGGAUUUACUGGGCGUAAAGCGCGUGUAGGCGGGUCGUUAAGUUGGGGGUGAAAUCCCGAGGCUCAACCUCGGAACUGCCUUCAAAACUGGCGACCUGGACUUGUAGUGACGCUGAGACGCGAAAGCGUGGGGAGCAAACAGGAUUAGAUACCCCCGUAGUCCCUGAGCGGGCUGGCAAGGCGCAU
rnacentral:rRNA from 1 species